GUACCAGGGACAAUGCAGAAAGAGCCUGUGGAGAAGAUUGACAACAUAUGCUCUCCUCAGAACACAGUGGGCAGGUGCACUUAAACUUCAGCCUCUUCCCAGCUGGAAGUAAAAUGGAUCUGAUCAAGGUGUUCCUUCUGAAUGCUGGACUCCUUCUUUAGCCAAGAAGCAAGGAACAUAUGGAAGCAGGAACCGACCACAGGGCAAGUUUUUCGCUAUGGUAUCAUUUGGCACAGCACUUUAUCUUUUUAUGACCUUCGUGUCACAUUACCACACUUGACUAAACUUCCUUGGCACAUCCUGCCCCCAGCCCCACUGAGGUGGUGUUUCUCAGAUCCUAAGACACUGCUCCAUCUUUCUCACCAUUGUAACAACUGCCACUGUGGGAUCAACUGCUUAGUUAACCCAUCUCUUGACAAUCUGAGCUCCCCGAAGGCACACCAGGCCUUAGGCAUGCAUUUCCAGACUCUACAUGGUUUUUGACUUCACAAAACCUGACCUUUGAAUCUCAGAUUUGAAUCCUGGCUGUGCCACUUAUUCAGGCAUCUUCAAACUUUUUCUGUAAAGGACCUCAUACUCAAUAUUUUCAGCUUGGCAGUCUGUAAGGUCUCCGUCACAACUACAGAACUCUACUGUUGCAGCACAAAAGCAAUCAGUGAAUAUAUACAAAUUGUAUUGUGUUCCAAUAAAACCUUAUCCAUGGAAA